GACGAACGCUGGCGGCGUGCUUAACACAUGCAAGUCGAACGGAAAGGCCCUGCUUUUGUGGGGUGCUCGAGUGGCGAACGGGUGAGUAACACGUGAGUAACCUGCCCUUGACUUUGGGAUAACUUCAGGAAACUGGGGCUAAUACCGGAUAGGAGCUCCUGCUGCAUGGUGGGGGUUGGAAAGUUUCGGCGGUUGGGGAUGGACUCGCGGCUUAUCAGCUUGUUGGUGGGGUAGUGGCUUACCAAGGCUUUGACGGGUAGCCGGGCUGAGAGGGUGACCGGCCACAUUGGGACUGAGAUACGGCCCAGACUCGUACGGGAGGCAGGAGUGGGGAAUAGUGCACAAUGGGCGGAAGCCUGAUGCAGCAACGCCGCGUGCGGGAUGACGGCCUGCGGGUUGUAUACCGCUUUCGCCUGUGACGAAGCGUGAGUGACGGUAAUGGGUAAAGAAGCACCGGCUAACUACGUG
rnacentral:rRNA from 1 species